rnacentral:rRNA from 1 species
AACGAACGCUGGCGGCAUGCCUAACACAUGCAAGUCGAACGAGACCUUCGGGUCUAGUGUCGCACGGGUGCGUAACGCGUGGGAACCUGCCCUUAGGUUCGGACUAACUCCCCGAAAGGGGUGCUAAUACCGGAUAAUGUCUUCGGACCAAAGAUUUAUCGCCUUUGGAUGGGCCCGCGUUGGAUUAGCUAGUUGUUAGGGUAAAAGCCUACCAAGGCGACGAUCCAUAGCUGGUCUGAGAGGAUGAUCAGCCACACUGGGACUGAGACACGGCCCAGACUCCUACGGGAGGCAGCAGUGGGGAAUAUUGGACAAUGGGCGAAAGCCUGAUCCAGCAAUGCCGCGUGAGUGAUGAAGGCCUUAGGGUUGUAAAGCUCUUUUACCCGGGAUGAUAAUGACAGUACCGGGAGAAUAAGCUCCGGCUAACUCCGUG